GUAUGGUUAAGUGACUAAGCGUACACGGUGGAUGCCUUGGCAGUCAGAGGCGAUGAAAGACGUAGUAACUUGCGAUAAGCCCAGAUUAGGUAGUAACAACCAUUUGAGUCUGGGAUUUCUGAAUGGGGAAACCCACGUGCAUAAGCACGUAUCCUUACCUGAAUACAUAGGGUAAGGAGGCGAACCGGGGGAACUGAAAC
rnacentral:rRNA from 1 species